rnacentral:rRNA from 1 species
AGUGAACGCUGGCGGCAGGCCUAACACAUGCAAGUCGAACGGCAGCACAGUAAGAGCUCGCUCUUACGGGUGCCGACGGGCGGACGGGUGCGAAAUACCUCGCAGUCUACUUUUUCUAGGGUGAUGACGUGGGGACUCUUACGCCAUACGUCCAUACGACCUACGGGUGGAAGCAGGGGAUCUUCCGCCCUUGCACGAGCGAAUGUGCCGAUGUCGGAUUAGCUAGUUGGCGGGGUAAAGGCCCACCAAGGCGACGAUCCGUAGCUGGUCUGAGAGGAUGAUCAGUCACACUGGAACUGAGACACGGUCCAGACUCCUACGGGAGGCAGCAGUGGGGAAUAUUGGACAAUGGGCGCAAGCCUGAUCCAGCCAUGCCGCGUGUGUGAAGAAGGUCUUCGGGUUGUAAAGCCCUUUUGGUUGGGAAGAAAAGCAGCAAGUUAAUACCCCGCUGUUCUGACGUUACCAAAAGAAUAAGCACCGGCUAACUUCGUG